rnacentral:rRNA from 1 species
GGCUAACGCUGGCGGCGUGUCUUAGCCAUGCAAGUCGAGCGGACUUAUGGGGUAACUUAUAAGUCAGCGGCGGACGGCGGAGUAACACGUAGCUAACCUACCCUCUGGACGGGGAUAACCUACCGAAAGGUGGGCUAAUACCCGAUGUAGUCAUCCUGUAUAGGGGUGAUGAAAGGUGGGCUUCUGUUUACAAGCUCAUGCUGGAGGAGGGGGCUGCGGCCUAUCAGGUAGUUGGUAGGGUAAUAGCCUACCAAGCCGAUGACGGGUAGCCGGCCUGAGAGGGUGACCGGCCCGAGGGGCACUGAGAUACGGGUCCCACUCCUACGGGAGGCAGCAGGCUAGAAAUUUGGGCAAUGGGGGAAACCCUGACCCAGUGACGCCGCGUGCAGGAAGGAGCCCUUCGGGGCGUAAACUGCUGUCGUGUAGGGAGAAGGGUACUAAGGUGAACAAUCUUAGUACUUGACGGUACUACAGGAGGAAGCCCAGGCUAACCUCGUGCCAGCAGCCGCGUAAUGCUACGUAGA